GUACCCGCGGCAAGACGGAAAGACCCCGUGAACCUUUACUAUAGCUUGACACUGAACAUUGAGCCUUGAUGUGUAGGAUAGGUGGGAGGCUUUGAAGUGUGGACGCCAGUCUGCAUGGAGCCGACCUUGAAAUACCACCCUUUAAUGUUUGAUGUUCUAACGUGGACCCGUAAUCCGGGUUGCGGACAGUGUCUGGUGGGUAGUUUGACUGGGGCGGUCUCCUCCUAAAGAGUAACGGAGGAGCACGAAGGUUGGCUAAUCCUGGUCGGACAUCAGGAGGUUAGUGCAAUGGCAUAAGCCAGCUUGACUGCGAGCGUGACGGCGCGAGCAGGUGCGAAAGCAGGUCAUAGUGAUCCGGUGGUUCUGAAUGGAAGGGCCAUCGCUCAACGGAUAAAAGGUACUCCGGGGAUAACAGGCUGAUACCGCCCAAGAGUUCAUAUCGACGGCGGUGUUUGGCACCUCGAUGUCGGCUCAUCACAUCCUGGGGCUGAAGUAGGUCCCAAGGGUAUGGCUGUUCGCCAUUUAAAGUGGUACGCGAGCUGGGUUUAGAACGUCGUGAGACAGUUCGGUCCCUAUCUGCCGUGGGCGCUGGAGAACUGAGGGGGGCUGCUCCUAGUACGAGAGGACCGGAGUGGACGCAUCACUGGUGUUCGGGUUGUCAUGCCAAUGGCACUGCCCGGUAGCUAAAUGCGGAAGAGAUAAGUGCUGAAAGCAUCUAAGCACGAAACUUGCCCCGA
rnacentral:rRNA from 1 species